CCACCCGCUUUCCCCUGGUAACCAUAAGAUUGUUUAAAUGGUACUAUGUCCCCUUCUACUUUCUCCCCUCUUUGUCCACAUCUAGAAAAAUUGUACACAGGCUGCCCUUUCUCUAUCUACCAGCUCUAUAGCUGUGCUCAGACUUUCCCUACACCAGUAUUUCUCAACCUUGAGCACACAUCAGCAUCACCUGGAAGUCACCUCACCCUAGAAAUUUAGAUUCCACAGGUCUAAGGGUGGGGCCCAAGGGUUUGCAUUUAGAAAAACAAAACAAGUUCCAGGUGACUCUGUUGCUAGCCUGGGACCACAGUGUGAGAGCCACAGCCUUAACCAGUCUUUUCUAAACCUGUGACUUCAGCCACCACCCCACUGAUGAUUCACUUGCAUGGGCGUUCCUGAAACCUCAGACUUGGAUAGCUCUUUAUCACAUCUCUAUCCCAGUGUCCUCCAAGCCCCUGAUCUUAAUCUGCCCCAAGUGGAGCGAGUCAAAUCUCCUUUGCUCUUACCUCUCCACACCCCCAAAUCUGCUCCUCCUCCUGUAUUUACUCUGUUGGAGAAAGACACUGCCCCCUACCUUAGCCUUGACAUGCCACAAACUCCUAGGGAUUACUGCCGUCAGGUUCUCUGGUUCACAGAGUGCCUCCCAAGCCCACUGUCACUGCCAUGCCCAGGCCCUCACAGAAGCCCUCAUCUCUGGGGACCCUGAUGGACCCACAGCAAAUGUGUUCCUUUUGCCGGAAUUCCCUCUUUGAGGUUAGUUGCCCCCCUAGUACCCAUAGCCAUACCCUGACCACGUGCACUCACUAGGCACACUGGGUCAGCCUGGGCUGCUCUAGCAAACCACGUAGACUGGGGGGCUCAGAUAACAGACCUUUCCUUCUCGCUGCUCUGGAGGCUGGAAGUCUAAGGUCAAGGUUGCCAGCAGAUUCAGCAUCUGGUGAGACCUGGUUUGCAUACGGCUGCCUUCUUACUAAAUCCUCACAUGGUGGGGAAAGAGAGAAUCCCUCACAUGUCUCUUCCUUUAAGGACACUGACCCCAUUUGUGAGGGCCCCACCCUCAUGUCCUAGUCACUUCCCAAAGGCCCCGCCUCCAGGUAGAGAGUAAGACUUCAACAUAUAAAUCAGGGGGUGGGGUGGGGUGCCUGCUCUGUUGAUAUUUUAGAAACAUAUAUUUAAUUUUAGUAGCACCAGUGUCUGCUAAUGUGCAAGGCACCCUGAAAGGACCAACAUUUUGUUCUGACCUAAGAACGUCCUGGGAAGAAAUACACUGCUUCUGAAAUCUCGGGUGUUGUUACACCCCUUUCAGUUCCCCUGGUGAUUAAGCCAUCUCUGAAGGGACUGUAGUACAUACACUUCUCUCUCUGGAUGAGCUUGUUAACGUUACUAACAAAUAAUUCUAGGUGCAUUUUACUCCAGCAACAGCGAUAGUUGGCAAUGGAUUCCUUUGAAAUAAGUUUGCGUUCAGACAAUAAGCUAAGUACUCUUCGGUAAGGCUGAGGAGUAGAGAGAGAUUUAAGGAGAUGUGGGCUCUAGGUCCGGCUCAGCUGUAAGCCGUCCAAACUCCAUGGACUCGAGAUCUUUUCUGAUAAAAGGAGGUACUUGGCUUCUCUAGCUUCUCUUAGGGCAGUUUUUAGCCUUUUAGUUUAGCAUAUUAACAAUAAUGUCCAAUCUAGUAAAGUAAAUGCAAGCGUGAGCUGAUGGGCUGUCCCUCUGUGUGACUGCAUGAAACGUUAAGGAGCAACGGAGAACUGUGGAGUCAAAGCAGAGUACCCUUGUGUAUAAGAACCUGUACCUGGAUCCUCGAUCCAUGGAGAGGCCCAAACCCUAGACUCGGUGGAAAUGGUGGCAAAAGGAGCCCAGUGGAAGAGUCACCUCCACAGAUAGAACAGUUCACUGAAGUGAAACUAAUGUCAGGAAUAUUGCAAUUUCUUAUACACAUGGUGAGGCUAACACUUUAGCAAUUCACACUUUUGACACGGUGCCCUCUGAACACAUCUUAAUUCUUUUGUCUCUAAUGUCUCACAUCAAUGAGACAGGAGGGAAGGGGGCAGCACACAGCUAUUAAAGUAACGACACAGCAGUUAGCACCAAGAUGGCGAACAGUCACCUCCCAGUAGACCCCGAGGCCCAAGGUGGCGGGAGAUUUGACUUCGAGUAGGCCUUGAGCUACAUUAUACACACUGAAAUGGACUAGCACGUGAAUGACACACCCACAGGUGCCAUGACAGUUCCGAGGCUAACCAUGAAGGGUCAAAAAGAGAGCAGUGGCCCAAUUCCUAGAAAUCCCUGCCCAUUCACCAAAGUAGUUGGAAAAAUCCUCUCACUUGUUAGCAUAUAAAAACUAGCAACGCUACGCCUCACGGUCGUUCCCUCCUGCGAUGGCCUGCACUCUGUUUAUGGAGUGUACACCUCUCUUAGUCUACUUUUACUCAAUUAUGGUUUGCUCUUGAAGUCUUUCCUGCAUGAAGCCAAGGACCCUUACUUGGCAGAGUGUGUCCCAGGGACUCAACCGAGACCUGGGUCAUGGCCAUCGUCUCCUGCCCCCUUUAUUUUCCUCUGUCGUCAACAUUGAAAAAGUUAUAGUCAAAAGAUCACCAGAAUCCAAGCUAGCAGAGUAUCAACAUGCAUAUUUCCUCUUAAACCAUAAGGCCACAUGAUUCUCGUGAAUAUUAAAUGUAGAGAACCACCGCUAAGUCAAAAAGGACCCACUCAGGUAUGGCCUAACGGUGACAUCCUGCAAUUCACAUGGUCUCGGUCAACACCUAGAAGGUCACCAUUUAGUUCUUUGAUGAGGCAUUGUCUUCCCUUGCUUCUGGGAGUUCUCAGUUACACAGAUACUAUCUUUAUUUGAGGUUGCAGGACUAACCAGUCUAUCAUUUUAAAACCUGUUUUUCAUUGUCAUAUCAUCCUAAGAGAGAGUGUCUAUGCCAAAGCCUAAAAUCAUAGGAUCACUGUUGCUAGCUGGGGUAGCAAGGAAGAACAUUCAGUACCAGUAAGACCUCUUUGAUACAUCGCAUGCAAAUGAAGGCGGCAAUGAAUUAUUUCAUCGAUGCUGUCCAAACUCAAAUGCACCCUGUUGAACUUUCCCUUAGCUUGAUACCACAACCAUCAAAUACAAAGGCAGUGGAGGGAAGGGUCGCUGUAAUAUGCAACACAAUAAAUACAUCAAUUGAAGACCAACAUUAAAAGAGUUAUUUGCUAAUGGGCACCAUGCCAGGGUUACUCAGGCAGUGCUGCUUGCAGAAUUCCUAAGCUGAGUUCACAAGAUACAGAUCGAUGCACCUCCAAAGAGAGUCUAUAUCAAUCUCCAUUUCAUUCAUUAGCUCCCACUCCAAGCUGGUUGGCUGCUAGUUAACUCUUUAAUGUGGGAGAAACUGUCAGUGUAAAGGCCACUGGGACACGUGCUCUUCCCAGCUGUACUUGACCUGUCAAUAUUUCUUGCAGCAGAAUGUUUAAACUGGUCCGGCUAAUGGCAAAAUGGAGACCUGUGGGGUUUGGAAGGCUUUCAUAGCUUUAGAAUGGCUUACCAUCCAAUAGCAAACAUUAGUAAAUUCACCCCGUUGCUGUAUUUCUGCCUUGCUUUACUAUCCAGGUGCAUGGAAACUGGGAUAAAAUUAUUUCCCAUAGUUUUAUUCUUGAACUCAAAGGUAUUUUAGACUACACAUUAUGUAAAUGUGGGCUCCGCUACAAUGAGAUGCGAUCACACCAAGGACCUGGCUGCAGUGGAGAUCAUUAGUUUGUGAUUCAGCUCUAAAGCAGCUCCAAACAAUGAGGGGAGCAAAGCAGCACUUUCCGUCAAGUUAGGAUUCGUUUUCAAUUUGUAUUGGUCCAGGGACAACUUUAUUGUUACGCCGUGGAGGAACCUGGAUGCUCUGGGGGACGCGCGGUGCAUGAACUAUUUCAAGCCCUUCUGAAAAUGUAAAUAAGAGCCCUAAAACAUAAAGGCAUAAUUACCAAAACAAAGAACAGCCUCAGACCACCAGGAAUAGCUGGCUUCGCUUAUUUUCUUUCUACAAAUAUUGAAUUUACUAAUUUCCCUUGCCUUACUGUUGAAUAAAAUCAAUUUUCUCAGUAGAGCUGAUCUCUGCUUUGUUUGAGGUUAGAUGUGAGGUUGAUAUGCGUCCUUAGAUAUACUGUUUGGGAGAAAGCCUUGAAUAUUUAACCCUACGUCACAGCGGGCCCUCCCUUCUCCGUCCUGUGGGGCGUCUAUUGAUUCAUUAUUUGACAAUCAGGAUUCUCCAUAGGUUAAUUGACAUGUUUGGAAUUCAUGGCAAGAAAAUCUGUGCAUUAUUUUAAAACUCCUGUCAAAUUGUUUGUAGAUAUGGUUUGAUAACAACACCUGUUUUUUUCCCUCUCUUGGCCAAUACAAUCCACUGAGAAUCCUGGCUUAAAAAAUUUCCCUGCAGAAUUGUCAAACAUAUGUAUUUGUAUUUCAUUACUUGGGUAAUAGCUGAUUUGCCAAGUUCAUUUACUACUAGUUGCUUCUCAAACAUCUCAGUGGGAUAAUUAAGGAAUACUAAGAACUGAAACUGUACUAAGUUAGGAGGGGGCUGGAGCCAUUGCCCAAAUCCCAGUCCUGAUUAAACUGCUGUCCAGAAUUAAAUAUUCAAUAACUGAAACGCUCUUUUCUUCCUUUACUCUGAGCAACUUAUCAUCAAGAAGACGAAGCUACUCCCCAAGUUGUGCAAGAGAGACCCCCCUCAAAUUAUCUGUACCAGUCAGAUCAAAAUCCUGCAGACUUUCAAGUGAAAAGUAUUUAAACUCAAAACUGGCAAUGGUCCAAGUGGUGCCUUUUCUCAGCGGAUAUAGACGUGGGGAGGGGAAAUGAAUAGUAACUUCAGGAGCAUGUCUUGGAAAGGAGUUAAGAAAGGCCAGGCACAGUUCAAGGUUACAGCUGAACACAAGGGCACUGAUGAGAAUUUGGACAGCUAAUACCCUCUCUUGAGAAAUUGUGAAUGCGAAGGAUCUGGAGAAGAAUGUUGAAGUAUGAUAGCAUUAGAGUUUAAAUGCUCUCCAAGAAUCUUGCUGGCUCAUUGCACAAAGAAAAGAGAGAGAUUUUAAUCAUGAGCUAUCUAUCAUCACCUGAAUUUGAAUGCCUGUUGUUUGAAGUCACAAGCUACUGACUCCCAUGAUGAAAUUGUGCAGUUACGGGAGUGAAAAACCUUGAAGAUGGAGACAGUAAGCUGCCUACCUUGACUAAAGGCGCUGUUGUCCUCAGAGGGACACAGUAUUGGAUCCCCGCUGAGAAGUCAAGCUUAGCCGUCAUCUGACGACCUGCACUUGGGUGUAUGCACGGACAGAACUGAGUCAUGUGAUAGGACAGAUCACCGAUUACCUUUCUUUUUAAACUGCCCAUUUGACUUCUUUUCUCAGGUGCGCUUGAUCUAGAAAUGGUUAAGAAUAUUUUAACUGGAACCAAAAUUGCCAAGGUUCUUGGAUUUCACAAAGUAAAAGCUAAUAAACAGUGAUGAGGGCAUUGGUUUCAUCAGGGAAUAAAAAAACAAAACUUUUAUUUGUGCAGGAAGGGAGGAUCUUCAGCAGGGUCUCACGUUUGCUGUCUUGGUUCCGUUUCCCCAAUAUUGCUGUGAAGAACUCUGCAUGGAUUUCUAUGGAUCUUGUUUAAAAUGUUUAUUAAAACUGCUACUUGACACAAA